rnacentral:lncRNA from 1 species
AUAUUUUCGGCCUCUUUCAUCGUAACUAAGCACUUACUACACACUGGCCAUAACUUUUGCAGUAUGAGGCGUGACAGCAAAACUAUCAUGAAUUUCUUUUCUUUUUCACAAUUUCAUGCAUAGAAGAUUCAUUCUUACAGUAGAUGUGAGCAUACAAUUUUUUUUUUGAGAACUUUCACCUUUUCACUUAAAGGAAACACUUUGUGGCUUUUCUUUGACAUAUCUGAAUUGCCAGCAUCACUACUCUUGUGUUUGGGGGCCAUUAUUAAGUAAAACAAAGGCAGUUUGAACACAGGCACUGUCAUAAGACAGUGAAUUGGAUAAUUGAGGAGGCUACUGAAGUGUCUAACAAGAGGGUCAGGUCUACAGCAUGGGUACACUGGACAAAGGGAUGAUUCAUGUCCUGGGUGGGAAGGAGUAGGAUGGUGCGAGAUUUCAUUAUACUACUCAGAACGGUGCACAAAGUAAAACCUGUGAAUUAUUUAUUUCUGAGAUUUUCCAUGUAAUGUUUUUGGACUGCAGUUGACCUUGGGUAACUGAAACCAUGGAAAGCAAAACCGAAGCUAAGGGGAGACUACUGUUGUCAAGGAAAUGUAGCAUAUGAAAGGGCACAGGAGUUUGAAUCUGAAGCACCUCUUUUGCCUGCUAGCUGGAGGACUUUGAGCAAGUCAUUCAGUUUCCCUGAGUCUAUUUCCAGGGUUAUGAUGGGACCCCAUGGCUAUUGGAAUCAUCUCAAAGAUCCCUAUUUCUCAGGCUAAUCUCAAAUUGUGAUAGUGACUUUGUGAUUGGGAUAACUAUGUAAUGAAAAUUUGAUCAGACUACUUAUUUUCCAUAGGCUUCUAUUUUGUCACUAGCUGUAGAGAAUUAGGGUUUUCUAUAUAUAAAUCAUGUCAUCAGUAAACAGAGACACUUCUUGAAUUUCUUCUUUUUCUAUAUGGAUGCCUUUUUAUUUUUAUUUUUAUUUUGCCUAAUUACUCUGGCUAGGACUUCCAGUACUGUGUUGAACAGAAGUGAUGAGAGUGAGCAUCCUUGUUUUGUUCCUGAUCUCUUAGAGGAAAAGCUUUUCACCAUUGAGUUUAACGUUAGCUGUGGGAAAAGGGAGCUUUUUGAAGCUUAUUAAAAAACAGUCCAGGUUUCGGUUCUCUGGCGAUGGAUGGUUGGAUGGAUAUAUAUAAAAUAUAGACACAUAUAUAUGAAUAUAUGGAUGGCUAUAUAUGAUAUAUAUAUCAUAUAUAUCAUAUAUAUAUAUAUAUGGAGAGAGAGAGAAAAAGAGGGAGAUGACCACAUUUAUUGGUGAAAACCAACCAACUUGCCCUUCUGUAAACAUAAUUCAGCAAGAGUUAUUUGUGGAGUACCGGAAUUGGUGAGAAUUUCGAUAGCUUUUCUGUUAUAACGCUUUUGCCAACUGCAGCAAUUGAUUCAGGUUUUUCUCGUCUUUUACUGUCAUCGAGGGAAAAUCUGUUGAGAUUCAUCAUUUAAGCUCCCAUAUGUUAAGCCUCUUUCCCAGGAUCAAUGAUUUGCUUUUUUCUAGACAAACGUUUUGUUUUGUUUUGUUUUUUAGAUAAAAUGACCAUUGCUUCUCUAAAGGAAGUAUGCAAAGAAAAGUAAAAUGAGGCUGGGUGCGGUGGCUCGCGCCUGUAAUCCCAACACUUUGGGAGGCCAAGGCAGGUGGAUCACGAGGUCAAGAGAUCAAAACCAUCCUGGCCAACAUGGUGAAACGCCAUCUCUACUAAAAAUUAAAAAAAUUAGCUGGGCGUCGUGGUGCACACCUGUAGUCUCAGCUACUCUGGAGCCUGAGGCAGGACAAUCGCUUGAACCCGGGAGGCGGAGGUUGCAUUGAGCCGAGAUCAUGCCACCGCACUCCAGCCUGGCAACAGAGCGAGACUGCAUCUCAAAAAAGAAAAAAAAAGUAAAAUUGAAGGCAUUGUAAUUUAAUCUAGCUAUAGACUUAGAGCACCUGUACAACUUCUAUAGUUGUCAGUCAUUUAAAUCUCUGUGUGCUGCCUUUGGAACAUGGGGGACAUAAUGAUCUACUCUUAUAGAAUAAGAUGCUGAUUAAAUAGAUAAUGCUUUUAAAAUAUUUUGAAUUAAAGAUAUUUUAAUGUGUAAGUAUACUGCAACUCAUUUAAACAAAUCUACUUGGUAGUGAAGCUAUCUGAUUGUACGGGAAAAAAUAUUGCCCUUAUGAUUUAGAACAGUGCGUGCAAUAUGAGCUACAAAUGUGAGCCAAAUAUGUAAUUUUUAUUUUUCGAGAUGGAGUCUCACUCUGUCACCCAGGCUGGAGUGCAAUGGCACGAUCUUGGCUCACUGCAACCUCCACCUCCCAGGUUCAAGUGAUUCUCCUGCCUCAGCCUCUCAUGUAGCUGGGAUUACAGGUAUUCAAGUGAAACCUCCAGGGAUUCCUCAAGGCCUGCCAUUUCAUUUCACAUCAAUUUUCUCAAAUUUUAUGGGAUAAUCACUGUGAAAAAAACAUUUUAAAUGGUCCAUUUUCAAGGCAUGAUAAAUCUAACUACUGGCAGCCAGCCUAAGGAUGUAAAAAACCACACAGCUUGUGCACCUGGAAAGUCACGAUAAGCGAACAGACUGUAAAGGAGAGGUCAGCCCAUAAAAGGGAAGAAAGUUUCAUUAUUGGGAAAUCAAACUUAAGCUGGGAAGGCGAUGGGAGGGUAUAACCUUAUAAGGGGGGUAAUAAAACUUAGGCUUUGUCUGGAAAGAUUGUAACCCGAUAGUACUCGACCAGUGAGGAACUGGGGCAGGGACUUGCAUGCUAGGAGAUAAAUUACAUGCUGAUUUAUCAUUAGGAGAUAAAUUAGGAGAUUGGGUGUGCCUGCCUACCAGACACCCAAUCUUGCAAGACCACCAUGCAAAGUCUUGCUUCCACUGUUCUUUGUGUCUCCAAGUCCAUUCUUUGAGUUUGGAUGGGUGAAUGUGUUUCUCACAAUCACUUUCUAAAGAAGGCAUAAAUGAAUAUUACUGCCAUUCUCCAGCCUCUGUCCCUAUUAUCCACCUCUAGCCUACAUGUCAUGUUCUGGCCAAACAGAAAAGAAGGUUGAACUCCAGGGAAUAAAAAAGCAUGGUUAACUAGAAAUACGACCAGUAAUACCCAAGCCCUGUUAGUAUGUUCCCUUUGCAUUAUUUGUGGAUAAAGCACUUUUCAACAAGAUGUGGAAGUAUAAUAUUCUUACAUUUAUGCCUGAAGUUAUUAACCAGUAAUUGUUCCAAGUGACUUUUUUUGAAUGACAUUUAAUGGGACUAUACAGAUAAUUUCAUACUAUCCAUGUUUUUACCCAACUGAGGAACUAUUUACAAGAUCAGACUGCAAACAGAAAAUAAAUCUGUGUACAAAAAAAUGAUUUAGAAUUCAGAGAUAUCCUUCAUUCCUUUCUCUCCUUACCCCUUACAUUCCG